AAACUAARUUUCAACAACGGAUCUCUUGGCUCUCGCAUCGAUGAAGAACGCAKCGAAAUGCGAUAAGUAAUGUGAAUUGCAGAAUUCAGUGAAUCAUCGAAUCUUUGAACRCACCUUGCGCUCCUUGGUAUUCCUUGGAGCAUGCCUGUUUGAGUAUC
rnacentral:rRNA from 1 species